AUCUUUACAUGGAGGGGGUGAUGCCAUGGGCAUGGAGGUGGUUCAUCCAGGGAGAGGCACUGUCAUUGUGCUCUGGCUUUCUGACCUCCAAAUUCAUCAAAUGUGGGAAUCUGGAAUGCAAAAUUUAUGGUAGUGGGGGACUGCGCUCACACCAUCCCCUG